rnacentral:lncRNA from 1 species
AGUGGGCUCUUAUUUUUUUUAAAGGAGAGAGGAGAAGACAGUGUUAGGAGCAGAAGACUUUUCAUCUCCACUUCACCUUGCCACUGGGUCUGUGAGAGACUGGUUCAUUGUCAAGGAGAUUUUUUUUUACCCAUGAUUCCAUAUGGUAUGGACCGGACUACAUGUUGCCCCACAUGCCACUGCAAAUGUUUUCUCAAUUAGGUGUCUUAUCUCCCGUGAGUUAGCAUCAGAUGAAGCUUGCUGACAGCGUAAUGGCAGGGAAAGCUUCCGACGGCUCCAUCAAAUGGCAGCUCUGCUACGACAUCUCGGCCAGAACUUGGUGGAUGGGACUACUGGCUGCUUGGUUUUUGCCUUGGCUGUGGUGUUUUCUGAGGACGCACGAAGGGCGCUGGGGAGCAGCGAGCCCUGGGCGAAUUCCGGUCCUGCCCCAUUAACUGGAUUGCCUGGCGUCACCUGGGAGAGAGCUCCGAGUCCCCACUCCCAGCCGUGCGUCAGGGGACCCAUAGGUCUCAUCUAACUUUUCCCUGCUUGUUUAUGUAGAGCAGGUCUUCCGUCUCUUAGGAACUCUAGCUCUGAGUGGAAAAGACCCGCACACUAUCUUUUCGUUGCUCUGCAUACGAAUAAAGUUUUAAUAAAGUUCUACCACGCGGCUGUAGCAGGAGUUAACUCACAUGUCCUGGUCAGCCAGGCCAGACAACCUU